GACGAACGCUGGCGGCGUGCCUAACACAUGCAAGUAGAACGGAAAGGCCCUGCUCUCGUUCGUUGCUCGAGAGGCGACCGGGUGUGUAACUCGUGAGUAACUUGCCGUUGACCUUGGGAUAACUUCAGGAAACUGGGGCUAGUGCCUGAUAUGAGCUCCUGCUGCAUGGUGGGGGUUGGAAAGUUUCGGCGGUUGGGGAUGGACUCGCGGCUUAUCAGCUUGUUGGUGGGGCAGUGGCCUACCAAUGCUUCGACGGGUAGCCGGCAUGAGAGCGUGACCGGCCACAUUAGGAAUGAGAUGCGGCCGAGUCUGCUAGAGAAGUGAGCGGUGGUGAAGAUGACACCAUGGGCGGAGGCCUGAUGCAGCGACGCCGCGUGCGGGAUAACGUCCUUCGGGUUGUAAGCCGCUUGCGCGUGUAACGAAGCGUGAGUGACGGUAAUGGGUACAGAAACGCCGGCUAACUACGUG
rnacentral:rRNA from 1 species